CAUACUGGUGAUCCGAUGGAUAAAAUAUGUAGUAGAGUUGUCACUUGUUCAGACAUACUAAUAAUUAUAUAAUAAUUUAUGUGACUGCAUCAUACAUUAAUUAAUUUUAAGGUCAUCUACAAUAGAUACUUCAGCUGAUCAAUACAUUCAAUCUGCAUGCUAUAUAUAUCAUUUACUGAAUUACGACGCUUGAUUAAAGCUGACGAGGAAAGC
rnacentral:lncRNA from 1 species